AACGCUGGUGUCUCUGUGGGCCACUGGGAAUCCCGCUUGCCUUCUUAGAGCAAGGGCCUGAUGUGGGGGUCUUCGCUGCUUGCUCACUUCGUAUUUUUCCGAGCUGACGGCUUUAAAGAGAAAUUGGAAGGCAAACGCCACCUGCCAGUGUAGAGAUGAGAGAGGGAAUAAGAGCUUUGGUGUUGGCGUUUCCCCUUCGCCUCUUCUUGCCCAGAGACCUGGAGAGAAAGGAAUAGUCCUUAGAUUGGAGUGGGGGUGGAGUGCUGUUGAUCGACAAGCUUAGGCAUUCACUGGAACACCAGACUGAUUCGUAGUGGAAUCAAGAAUGCAACUUAAGACCUCUUCUACCCUGUUUUCCAUCACUGUUUCUUUCACCUAAAUUUUUCCAGGUGGGAAGCUUUGAGGUUUGAAGGUCCUCAAGCUGGCUGCCCUUGGAAAAUGGACUGGAAGGGAUGGGAGAGGAAGCAGGUCCGGUAGAAGGCCAGGCUGUGGGAAGGAAGGCAUUCCGCACAAAUGGAGCCUGGCGGACAGAGGAAGAAGCCCAUGAAGGCCCCAUCCCCAAGGGCAGCCACUCACUGGAGACGUGUUCACUGGAUUGGAAUUCUCAGCCACACUGUCGCUUCAUCCCCCCAGCCCGGCUGUGACCCAAGUGUCACAUCCCACACACCUCCUUGGAGGAGACACUCAAUAAAAACAAGCUGUGUUGAAUGCCAGUGAGUCACUCUCACAGUCUUCCUGUCCAGAGCAGUGGGGAAUAAUCGAGAACUGACAUUUCU